CAGUCGCCGCGGGAAUACAGAGGGUGCGAGCGUUAAUCGGAUUUACUGGGCGUAAAGCGUGCGUAGGCGGCUUUUUAAGUCGGAUGUGAAAUCCCUGAGCUUAACUUAGGAAUUGCAUUCGAUACUGGGAAGCUAGAGUAUGGCAGAGGGGGGUAGAAUUCCACGUGUAGCAGUGAAAUGCGUAGAGAUGUGGAGGAAUACCGAUGGCGAAGGCAGCCACCUGGGCAAAUACUGACGCUCAUGCACGAAAGCGUGGGGAGCAAACAGGAUUAGAUACCCGGGUAGUCCCUGUCUCUUAUAC
rnacentral:rRNA from 1 species